UAAUACGUAGGGUCCGAGCGUUAUCCGGAUUUACUGGGCGUAAGGGGUUGCUCAGGUGGUUUCUUAAGUCAUAUCUUAAAUAUCGAGGCUCAACCUCGAAGCUGGGUCUGAUACUGGGAGACUAGAGGAAUAGAGAGGAAGGCGGAAUUGCUGGAGGAGCAGUGAAAUGCGUUGAUAUCAGCAAGAACACCAAAGGCGUAGGCAGCCUUCUGGCUAUUUUCUGACACUGAAGCACGAAAGCUAGGGGAGCGAAGCAGAUUAGAGACCUGCGUAGUCCUAGCCGUAAACGAUGGACACUAGAUGGUGGGGGAGUUUUCUCACUGUCGUAAAGCUAACGCGUUAAGUGUCCCGCCUGGGAAGUACGGCCGCAAGGCUA
rnacentral:rRNA from 1 species